ACGCAAUCUGUUGCAUUCAGUUAGGGGGAUAUAACCCAGAGCUGUACGUGCAAGCCACAUAGAAACAAGCAGCGCUCCGAGUUUUCAAGAUGAAGUCCCUACUUAUCGUCAUUCUAGUUUUGGCUCUGGCAAGGGAAGUCACUGGAGGUGAUGGAGAAAGAUCUUGUAAUUACACAAAGAACUUUACAGUUGCUCAUAGCAAGGCUUCUGAGGAUAAAAAAUGUCAUUGCUGGGAUGGAAAACUAGCUUGUGAGGAAAUAAUAGAGCAAAGCAGGGCCAGCAUCACAUCCAGAGACAAAAUUCCCGAAAAAUAGUACAGGUUACAUGUAAUGCAAGGCAGCAUAGAAUCAACAGACAAGUUUCUUUCAUCGAAUAAAGAAAAUGUAUUUUUAAAACAUCAAUAAAAACAAUUUAAACAUCUGACUAAAUAUAAAAACCAAA